GCCCGCCUAGCUCAAUUGGCCAGAGCGUCAGACUUUUACGGCCUGAUCUGCGGGUUAAGAUGAAAUCUGAAGGCUGCGGGUUCGACCCCCGCGGUGGGCU